CUUGCUACUUCGAUGUCGUCUCUUCCCAACCUCCUGGUGCAGCAGCUGGGAAGGGUGGGGUUGUUCGCCCAUUAAAGGGGAUCGUGAGAUGGGUUUAGACCGUCGUGAGACAGGUUUGUUGCUUUGUGGUUGAGGCGUAUAAGAUGCCUGAUCGGAAGGGCCCUUUAGUACGAGAGGAACGAGGGCUCGGGGCCACUAGUUUACCAGUUGUCCGGCAGGGCAAUGCUGGGUAGCCACGCCCUAUGUGGAUAAGAGCUGAAAGCAUCUAAGCUCGAAGUCAUCCGAAAGACGAGGCAUCUCAGGGGACUCGUAGAAGACGAGUUUGAUAGACAGCGGGUGUAAGCACCGAGGUUCGCCGAGGUGUUCAGCCCAGCUGCACUAACCCCCCGAGCAUUCAUCUUU
rnacentral:rRNA from 1 species